GGGGCUGAACCACCCAAAAAAUGCAAAGCUAUUUUUAUUUUUGUGAUAGUUGACUUGACUGAUUUGGCUUGAACUGAGUGAGUCUGAGUGUCUAUAUAUUUAUCAGUAGUACUGGAGUAACUGAUGGAUCAGUGAUACAAUCAUUGAUACAAGUUAUGACUGAUGAGAAUUACCAGCUCACUGGACCCUGACUCUAAGAAGUUAGUCUAUAAUUAUUAUUUAUUUAUACUACUGUAUGGCUACAAAAUAUCACGUGGGAUUAAUUUUCAUUAUUUUUGUUGUGUGAAGUUUUAAUCCAGUGAAAUUCUUCAUAUGACCACACCUUA